AGACCUCAAUGUUAAAUGUUACUCAGAUCAUUUUAAAUGUGUGUUCACAGAAAACUACUUCCGAGGCUACCAGCUGUACCACGGCAGCUGGAAAAUGCACAGUCCUAAGGUGUUGAGAGUCUUUAAUAUUUUACCUGGCAGGUAAAACCAAGGGUCAGACUGAAUUGUUCAGUUGGCUGUUUUUAAGGAAUAUUGAUGGCAUCGAAAAAUAUACAGCCCACCUCCAGUCCGUAGGCUAGACCAUCACAUACAUGAGUUCCUCGAAUACUUUUGGGAAACCCUACCUGCCCAGUCUCUGAAUGCGAUGGAUGUGGUGAGCGUGCUGCACAGGGGAUUUUGUGAUCUCUGGAAUACAAGACUCUUGGAGACUGACGAUUUUCGCUGGCUGGAGG